rnacentral:misc_RNA from 1 species
GAUGAAGAACGUAGCGAAAUGCGAUAAGUAAUGUGAAUUGCAGAAUUUAGUGAAUCAUCGAAUCUUUGAACGCACAUUGCGCCCGCUAGUAUUCUGGCGGGCAUGCCUGUCCGAGCGUCAUUUCAACCCUCAAGCCCCCGGGCUUGGUGUUGGGGAUCGGCGAGCCUCCGCGCCCGCCGUCCCCUAAAUCUAGUGGCGGUCUCGCUGUAGCUUCCUCUGCGUAGUAGCACACCUCGCACUGGGAAACAGCGCGGCCACGCCGUUAAACCCCCAACUUCUGAACGUUUGACCUCGGAUCAGGUAGGAAUACCCGCUGAACUUAAGCAUAUCAAUAAGCGGAGGA